UCGAACGGGAUCCAUCAGGCUUUGCUUGGUGGUGAGAGUGGCGAACGGGUGAGUAAUGCGUGACCGACCUGCCCCAUACACCGGAAUAGCUCCUGGAAACGGGUGGUAAUGCCGGAUGCUCCGACUCCUCGCAUGGGGUGUCGGGAAAGAUUUCAUCGGUAUGGGAUGGGGUCGCGUCCUAUCAGGUAGUCGGCGGGGUAACGGCCCACCGAGCCUACGACGGGUAGCCGGCCUGAGAGGGCGACCGGCCACAUUGGGACUGAGAUACGGCCCAGACUCCUACGGGAGGCAGCAGUGGGGAAUAUUGCACAAUGGGCGCAAGCCUGAUGCAGCGACGCCGCGUGCGGGAUGACGGCCUUCGGGUUGUAAACCGCUUUUGAUCGGGAGCAAGCCUUCGGGUGAGUGUACCUUUCGAAUAAGCACCGGCUAACUACGUGCCAGCAGCCGCGGUAAUACGUAGGGUGCAAGCGUUAUCCGGAAUUAUUGGGCGUAAAGGGCUCGUAGGCGGUUCGUCGCGUCCGGUGUGAAAGUCCAUCGCUUAACGGUGGAUCUGCGCCGGGUACGGGCGGGCUGGAGUGCGGUAGGGGAGACUGGAAUUCCCGGUGUAACGGUGGAAUGUGUAGAUAUCGGGAAGAACACCAAUGGCGAAGGCAGGUCUCUGGGCCGUUACUGACGCUGAGGAGCGAAAGCGUGGGGAGCGAACAGGAUUAGAUACCCUGGUAGUCCACGCCGUAAACGGUGGAUGCUGGAUGUGGGGCCCGUUCCACGGGUUCCGUGUCGGAGCUAACGCGUUAAGCAUCCCGCCUGGGGAGUACGGCCGCAAGGCUAAAACUCAAAGAAAUUGACGGGGGCCCGCACAAGCGGCGGAGCAUGCGGAUUAAUUCGAUGCAACGCGAAGAACCUUACCUGGGCUUGACAUGUUCCCGACAGCCGUAGAGAUAUGGCCUCCCUUCGGGGCGGGUUCACAGGUGGUGCAUGGUCGUCGUCAGCUCGUGUCGUGAGAUGUUGGGUUAAGUCCCGCAACGAGCGCAACCCUCGCCCUGUGUUGCCAGCACGUCAUGGUGGGAACUCACGGGGGACCGCCGGGGUCAACUCGGAGGAAGGUGGGGAUGACGUCAGAUCAUCAUGCCCCUUACGUCCAGGGCUUCACGCAUGCUACAAUGGCCGGUACAACGGGAUGCGACACGGCGACGUGGAGCGGAUCCCUGAAAACCGGUCUCAGUUCGGAUUGGAGUCUGCAACCCGACUCCAUGAAGGCGGAGUCGCUAGUAAUCGCGGAUCAGCAACGCCGCGGUGAAUGCGUUCCCGGGCCUUGUACACACCGCCCGUCAAGUCAUGAAAGUGGGUAGCACCCGAAGCCGGUGGCCUAACCCUU
rnacentral:rRNA from 1 species